GGGAUGCAGUUGGUUAAUGCUUCGGCGUAUAGCGCCGAAGUUGCAGGUUCGAAUCCAGCCAGUACCC
rnacentral:tRNA from 1 species